GACGAACGCUGGCGGCGUGCUUAACACAUGCAAGUCGAACGGAAAGGCCCUGCUUUUGUGGGGUGCUCGAGUGGCGAACGGGUGAGUAACACGUGAGUAACCUGCCCUUGACUUUGGGAUAACUUCAGGAAACUGGGGCUAAUACCGGAUAGGAGCUCCUGCUGCAUGGUGGGGGUUGGAAAGUUUCGGCGGUUGGGGAUGGACUCGCGGCUUAUCAGCUUGUUGGUGGGGUAGUGGCUUACCAAGGCUUUGACGGGUAGCCGGCCUGAGAGGGUGACCGGCCACAUUGGGACUGGGAUACGGCCCAGACUCCUACGGGAGGCAGCGGUGGAGAAUAUUGCACAAUGGGCGGAAGCGUGAUGCAGCAACGCCGCGUGCGGGAGGACGGCCUUCGGGUUGUAAACCGCUUUGGCCUGUGACGAGGCGUGAUGGACGGUAAUGGGUAAAGAAACACCGGCUAACUACGU
rnacentral:rRNA from 1 species